UCCUGCGAUCAGCCUUACAGGUGUCGGGAGAUAACCAUAUUGGCUUUCCUUUGUUGUGACGAAAUACCCAACAUAAACACCGGAGGAAAGGCUUACUUUGGCUCAGGCUCUCAGACGUUCCGCUCCGCGGGCAGCUGGCUCUUUGGUCUUGGUCCGGGGUCGAGCAGAAAUAUGGCGGACUCCCAGCAGCCGGAAGCGGGCUGAGCGGGAACACUGAGGGGAGCACCGGGUGGGAAGAGGUGAGGCCAGCAGUCCUCUUCCUCCGUGGCCCCCAGCUCCCAAGAGCCCCUGCAGCUGUGGGCUCCUACGUGGCCACCGAUUGAGGUUCACGUCUACAGGUUCUCCCUCCUCUCAGGCCCUGACUAAAUAUUGCCGCAUGGGGAUCCGACUCGGAACACGUGGGACUUUGAGAGGAUGGUCUCAAGGUACAUCCAUUUAGUUACAAAUGUGCCAGACCCCACAGUACUGGUCAUGCCCAAAGCAUGCUGUGAGCAGUGUGGGCUGCAGAGUUAGCCCCUCCUGGCUCACUGUAAGAAGUGAGUCUGAAGCUCCGCCACGCACAGAAGCAGCUCAUGAGCACCACGGGAGCAUGCAGCUCAACAUGACCUCCCUGUCCACGGCCACUGCCGAGACCAGAGUGAUGGCCUGUGAAGAUGUGGGGCUCGUACAAGACAAUGGAGAAACGCUGUGGCUGCCGUCCUAGAGUGAGUGCCAUGGACAGAGAUGGGGCCCCAGACAGCAGCGCCAAGUGGCACCCCACUGAGAGCCACUCAGAGGCUGAGUCUAAGGAGCCCCACACGGCCCAACACCUACAGAUGCUCAUGAGCAGAGGUCUGCUCAGAGGGGCCGCCCACGUCCACCAGGGAGACCUGUACCCAAGUGGGUGCCACGGGUGCCAAGCCAGAGCAGUGGUCCUGCGCGAGAGAUAAGAUGGA